rnacentral:rRNA from 1 species
GGGGGGGGGGGGGGGGGGGGGGGGGGGGGGGGGGGGGGGGGGCGGGGCGGGGGGGGGGCCCUGGUGGCGAGUGGGGCACGGGGGGGUGCUACAUCGGGACAUGUCCUGUAGGGGGGGAUAGCCCGGCGGAGGCCGGAGUAAUACCGCAUACGAUCUACGGAUGACAGCGGGGGGCCUUCGGGCCUCGCGCUAUCGGGGUGGCCGAUGGCGGAUUAGCUAGUUGGUGGGGUAAAGGCCUACCAAGGCGACGAUCAGUAGCUGGUCUGAGAGGACGACCAGCCACACUGGGACUGAGACACGGCCCAGACUCCUACGGGAGGCAGCAGUGGGGAAUUUUGGACAAUGGGCGAAAGCCUGAUCCAGCAAUGCCGCGUGUGUGAAGAAGGCCUUCGGGUUGUAAAGCACUUUUGUCCGGAAAGAAAUCCUUGGCCCUAAUACGGUCGGGGGAUGACGGUACCGGAAGAAUAAGCACCGGCUAACUACGUG